CCCGCUGAACUUAAGCAUAUCAAUAAGCGGAGGAAAAGAAACCAACAGGGAUUCCCUUAGUAACGGCGAGUGAAGCGGGAAAAGCUCAAAUUUAAGAUCUCCUAGGUUCCCUAGGCGAAUUGUAGUUUCAAGAAGCGUUUUCUGAGGUGGCCUCGGUCCAAGUCUGCUGGAAGGCAGCGCCAUAGAGGGUGAUAGCCCCGUAGGAUCCUGAACCAUUUCUUUAUGAUUGCGUCUUCAAAGAGUCGUACAGUUUGAGAAUGCUGUGCUAAAUGGGAGGUAAAUAUCUUCUAAAGCUAAAUAUUGGCGUGAGACCGAUAGCGAACAAGUACCGUGAGGGAAAGAUGAAAAGAACUUUGAAAAGAGAGUUAAAUAGUACGUGAAAUUGUCUAAAGUGAAACGUUUGAAACUAGUAUCGGGAGAUUACGGACAACCGCAAGGUGCAUUCGUAGUUUCCUGUGCCAGCGACAGUUUUGUUUGCAGUAAAUGCUCCUGGGAAUGUAGCUUCGGUGUUAUAGCUCAGGGUGAGUGCUGUGGAUGGGACUGAUGAUCGCCACUGCCUUGGGGAAGCAGCUGCCUCGAAGCGAGCGAUGCUAGACAACUUGUUGACUAGUGUCGUCUUUCGUUAGGGAUCGGUUGUGUACCACUUUCAGUGUAGGUUGCUGGUGAAAUAGUUUUAAGCGACCCGUCUUGAAACACGG
rnacentral:rRNA from 1 species